rnacentral:tRNA from 1 species
GCCGACUUAGCUCAGCUGGUAGAGCACCUGUCUUGUAAACAGGAUGUCACGGGUUCGAAUCCCGUAGUCGGCU